GACGAAGGGGGCUAGCGUUGUUCGGAAUUACUGGGCGUAAAGCGAGUGUAGGUGGUUGUCCAAGUCGGAUGUGAAAGCCUUGAGCUCAACUCAAGAAAUGCAUUCAGGACUGGAUGGCUAGAGGACCGGAGAGGAUAGUGGAAUUCCCAGUGUAGUGGUGAAAUACGUAGAGAUUGGGAAGAACACCAGUGGCCAAGGCGGCUAUCUGGACGGUUUCUGACACUAAGACUCGAAAGCGUGGGGAGCAAACAGG
rnacentral:rRNA from 1 species